rnacentral:lncRNA from 1 species
GGGAAUCCUUCCCGCAAAAAGGUGGCCCACAGGAGCCAGUUGUGAACAGAGCCCAAAGGAUAACGCAGCUUCGAAAGAGGAACAUUAUCUAAAGAGUGUUGAAAGAGUGAGUUAAAUUUGUCUUAAAUGCAAGUAAUUGAUUCCGUAGAUCUAGUCAUAAUAAUCGAAGGAUUCUUUCAAUCAAAAAUCGAUCUAAAUGAAUGCCAGGAACUGGCUAUAGCUCUAGCCAGAUGUGUGCGGGACACACACCGAGAUGUUGCUUUAUGACUUAUGAAACACGAAAUAACAGCCACAGGAUGCAGACAUAAUUCUGUUAUAUAUGUGCACAGAUACUCUAGAUACUCUUUACCAUUCCGUGGUACGCGUAACUCUGCAGCAACUGCAAAUGCGAACUCUGCGCUCAAGUAACUUCAUUAUCCUGUGAAUGAAUCCAACUCUAACCCUAUCACUCGCACAAUGACUGUCAGGAGAGCGUCAAGCGAAUGCCAAGACGUCAUGGGGGCAUGCAACGAUCGCUGCGGCUGCGAGUCAGAGCUCACAGCGAACGUCUUCAGGCUCCAAGGCAGCAAAGGGUUUUGAGUGCCGUGAAAGGGUGCUGCGUCAAGGACGACGGGAACAAGGACUCGGCCUGAAUUAAUGAAUCGUGUGACGGGGCAGGCAGGCCACACGGCCAGACAGCGGGACAGCGUGGCAAUGCUUGAUUGACACGUUGACAGUCGCUCGCUCGGACGUUCGCGGACGAGAGAAAAAGCACAGCCGGUCUGUGCCCCGGAUCCGAGUCCGGAACCCGUUGCGUCAGCGAUCCUUCGCCCUGAUUGUUUUCGCUCUCUCUCUGUUUUUUCCCCCCUGCUGCUGAAUUGUUUUAAUGCCUAAAAUAGUCAGCGCCGAAUUACGACGAUGUCUCCGCGAACGAGUCCGGGAGCAUGUCCUGCUGCGAUCGCAUCAGCAAAAUGCAAAACGCAAAACGCAAAUCGCAAAACAUUUCGGAAUAUGUCAAGCAAGGAGCACAGGCCUUGAACUCAUUGUGGUUUGCCCUGGAAUGGGUUGCCUUUUGGUCCUGCAGGGAAGUCAAGAAUGCAAAAAAUAUAAGCAGAAAUUGUCUGAGAGUUUCUUGCAUGGAUUUCGAGGGGUAUCCUCAAGUUACUGCCCAACGAUCAAGCUAUCUCUAGCCAUUGUUUAGUUUCGAAGUGUCAACCAAUAUCCAUUGAUUAUGCCAUCGAAUUCAAUCCUGAAGCGAUCGCAUUUAAAGCCAGAUUCGUGGCAAACGAGUAGGAAUCGGAAUCCAGGCUUAACCGCUGGCACCGCCGCCGCGAACUUGUCCGUCGUUGUUUUAAUAAAUUAAAUUCCGGAAAAUCCACAGGAAGUCUGUCUGUGCAUUUUUGCUUUCUGUCUCUCCCCCGUUUGCUGACACUGCAGCCCCACAGUGGCAGCCAUUCAUUCUAUCACUUCCUGGCUGCUGCAGCAGCAGCCACAGAGCCAGGCGCAUGCCAACACGGACUUAAUUUCAUUUAAGGACUCGCCCACUCGUGGAUACUGCAGAAGAAGCGUAGCAGCGGAAGCCGGGCAUAAAAUAAAUGUAAUAAAAGACAAAUACAAAUGCCCCAGAAGCAGAAUCAUUCCGCAGUCAAAGUCAACGUCCCAUUCUCAACAAGUGUCGCUUCCAAGCACAAAAACUAAACUCCCAUCCAAUAGGAGAGAGAAUUCCCCCCCCUGGGAACACGUGCCCCUGCCCAACAGCAUGUGUGACCAUGUGCCAAGUGGUCACGAAGGUCACUGCCCAAGCGAUUUCUGGGUUAAUUUUAUGAAAAAUGAAAAAUUAAUUGAGAAAUAAUGUUGACAAGCGCUGACCACCACCGGAGUAAGCAACAGCAGAGAAGGGAGACCCGAGCAGACCCCCUGCCUGCAGUGUCAAUGGGCCGUCUAAUCCCAAUUUCGAUGCCAUGGGAAGGCCUCGCUGUUCGCCUUAUCGAACGGGAACGUCUUCGCCACGUGCUGCUGCUGACCGUUGGUCAAAAGUUAAGUCGGAAGCCAAGGCAAGGCAAGGCAAGGCAAGGCGAUUGCGCCAUUUUGUUGGCGAGAGGUGAACACGCCUCAGUCGGGGCCGACAACAUGGUCAACUCGACUGGCAACAAACGAAAGGUCAGCCAUCAUCAUUAUCACGCUUAUAAACAGGCCCAGCCAGGGGUCCACGGUCCACGGUCCAGUUCUCCAGCUCUCUGUAGUCCUUCUCGAGCAACCCCUUGGAAACGCUUUUCAGCUGCCUAAGGUAUGAUUUUUGCUGGGGGUUGACAUCCCCCGAUGAGCACAUCAGGGCGAGCAAUUGGUAUGCAAAUUGAAGUAAACUUCUUUCGAUCGUUGUGCGUUUAAUGAAUUUGUACCGGUUCCAAUGACCGGGGGUUGGUCUGCCGGGGUUCAGCUCAUCUCAUCUCAUUUCCGGGGUGAACGAGCGCAUGACCAGUGGUCAACUUGAUUAGUGACCAGGCCCCGAGGUCGAGUCAGUACGAGUCCGAGUCCAAGUCAGGGGCAACGGGGCAACGGGGCAACGGGGCUGCUCCCUGCAUAUAAUGAAGCGUGCUAGAGCAUGGGAGUGAUCUCUUUGGUAAAAACAUUGAAUUUUUCACAUUAAACAGAACAUAAAUCACAGAAUUAAUGGUGGAACAACCCCCCUCGGCUACAGCAGGCACAGGCACAGGCAUAGGUCCCGAGUGGGCUGGGCACACGAUCAAAACAUGGUUGCCAUAAUAUGCUGAAAAUAUUUGACUUACUGCUUACAUCCUUAUGCGGAAUGAAUUAUUAUUGAAUUGGUCAUCAUCAUUGGGCAGGACAUGGCAAAAGACAGCAGCAAGGGGUAGUGCCAGCGGUAGGAUUAGGCGUAGGGGUUGGGCAUUACUCUAUGGCAUUUCUCAAUGGCUUGUUGUCACUAAAUAUUGUGGGCUCCCAUGGCUGUCAUAUUUCAUUGGAUUCAAUUGAAAACAUCAAAGAUAUGCAGGCAGAUAUAUGUAAAUGUAAAUGAACUCCAUUUGCCGCAGCAUUUCCAAUUAAUCUCUUCUAUAAUCACCAAUCGAGUGACAUUACACAGCUUUUUUGGGCUGCAGAUUUUGAUGUAAUAUAGCUAAGAGAUUCCGCUUUCAGUCGUAGAGACUUCAGAGACUUGUCCACUUUUCUAUGUCUAAUAAUUGUUUCAGAACAACAAUGGCAAAGGAAUCGCUCCAGCUGUUUGAGACGAAUUUAAUCACAAUUGACACGAGUUUUAGGGAAUUUUUGAUAAUCCUUACUUAAAAUUGUAGUUCAUUGUGCUUCCCAGAGGAAUGUUUCUUGCUUGAAUUUCUUUGAAUUUCUGUAUAUCCAAAAUUGUAUUCAAUUUGUCUCCAAUUCUUGUGCAAGUUUGUGCAUUCAAUCAAUCCCAUUUCUAUUCAUUUGCCUGCACAAACUCAAGCUAAUCCGCGGUGUAAAUUAGGGAUCUCCGCUAGGAGAUCUCCCUGUCUAGACUCUCCAGAGCUGCGCUUGGAGCCAUCCAUCCAUUCAUCCAUCCAUCCAUCGUUGUCGACCGCAUUAUUCUUACAUUCAGAAUUUGCAUUCAGUUUCACCGCGGACCGUGCAUUUUGCAUUGCUCCCAUGACAAAUGCUGUUGACAUUUGAACUAAAACCGUUUUCUUAUAAUAUGGCAAAUAAUAAUCCCUAGCCAGAUGCUUAACGUAGGUGGAGGAGGAAGCACGGAAACUAUGCCACUGACAGGGCUUAUGCGUACUUUCCGCCUCAGCUGGUUGAACUGCUUGCGUCAGGGGCCUCCCUCGCCCUCCACCCUACUGCCUCCUCCUGCCGAGCAGGAGCUGAGCUCUUUUUAUUUACCAAAGCGAAUGGCAAACAAGGAGCAGGAGCACACACACACACACACACACAGACACACAAAAUGUAAUCCCAGCGAAAAGUAAAUUGUAUUUCAGAGCAAACUUGUUGAUGUACAAAUGUAUGUACAGAUGUACCCACGUGCGUAUGGGCUGGAGCACCCUACAUCGGGCAGCAAGGUACAUCGAUUACCUGACCACAAAAAUCUAACAAGAAAUUAAAGUUAUCCCAAGUCCUACACACACAUAUUGUGGAGAUUUCCCUAGGGGAAAUUUCCAUGGGUCCCAGGGUAGGGUAUUCCUUCGGGCUUUAAUGCCCGAACGUCGUCCCGCUUAAGCCACAGAAUGUUGCUUGCAUCUAAAACUAAAUCCUCAUCACGGAUAUGAGCAAGACAAUGGCAAAGAACGACUGAAUUAGAGGGGAAUUACUUCUAAGCAAAGACAGCAGCAGCCAUACCAAGUGCAUGUUAAGCAACCUUUUCAGAUUUUACAUUUUCCAGGGCAACAAACCACAAGACAGCGAAGGAUCUACGGGGUACAUGGGUUAGUUCUAUGGAAAUCCAAGAUCAAUUAGCUAAAGGAUAAAUACUCAAAGAGAGUUCUCAUCUAAUGCAACAUAUCUUAGACAUAAAAUGUCAUAGAUGGUGAAACUUCGUUGCCAUAUUGCAUCCUGUCAUACAAAGAUUUCCCUCUUUCCAAACUCUAACGGAACGGAAAAGCAUGUAAAUGGGGACAGGGAACAGUUUUUCAAGUGCCUACACUGAGCGCAAACAUUUGCAUUUUUAAAAAAGAUUUUCGUCAUAAGAAGAUAUCGAAAGCAAAAAGAAAGCAACCAGAAAUUCCGCUUAGUGUAGCCGUCUUUUAAGGUUCUGCUCUCCAUGGCCUCAUCAGGACCAAUGGUACAUUUGCCGUGGCACUCCGUCCGUCCGUUCGUCUGUCCGUCCGUCCGGCAGUUUGUCCGUUUUCGCCAUCUCCGCUGUUACUCAAACCACUCCAAGCAGCGGCCCGACUCCAGCUCCAGCUCCAAGUUCCAAGCGCCAAACCCAACCCCACAGUGGCUCUUCCGUUCACUUGAUGUUUUCAGGAGCGGAGCUCACAAAGUCGAUAAAUAUGUAUACACAUGUAUGUACAUAUAGGUACAUACACAUGUAUGUAUGUAUUCGUGUGUGGUGUGUGUGUGGGUGAGUCAAGUCGCAAGUUGCGAGUUGCGAGUUGAGUUGCUUGAUUCGCUAUGGCAACCAAAGGCUGAGCAGCUCCUGUUCCUGACUUCGCAGCACCCCGGCUGCUCCCCAGCUGCUCUUCCUGCUACAGCUGCACAUGUCAGACUCGAACUUUUAACAGAAAGACUGUGUCGUCUGCUUCCGCCAGGGCCAUCCCUGCCACCAUGCUCUUCCUGCUCUGCCCGAAACGACAACGUUUGAGCGGAAUAUGUGAGGGCCAUAGUCACUAUCCGUUUGCCUAACGACACACCAAUGCUGUCCGCCCGCCCACCAUCAUCAACCUACAUGCUCUGCAUGCUCUGCUCCUCCAUCUUCAACAUUCUCCAUUUUCUCUCCUCCAUCUGGCCCCUUUCCAACAAAUUCAAACGUUUGACAGUCCCCGAUUUCUCUCUGCAUCCAAUAACAAUGUGUUCGAGUGGCUCUCCUCCUUCUCUCUCUCUCUCUCUUCUUAUGCUUUGGUUGAGUUCAUUGUUACUUAAAAUGUGGCUUGACAUCCACAUAUAUCAGUCAGGGUUUAUUAGAGCCACAGCAUCUUAGACAGCAUCGCAGGAAGUCAGAAGAAACCAGAUUGGAUCUAGCUUGCCUAUCAGUACAAGAUAUUCAUACGAAAGGCUGCGAAAGAGAAGGGACUAUAAGACCUACUAGUGGACAGUCAGCCCUUUCCUUAAGUGUUCUAAUCUCAGGCACAUCUAUCGAGCAAACAAUCAAGUGGAAGAAUGGAAGGCGAGAAAGGACUCAUCGGAAUGGCAUCACACGCGAAAGUUCAGCCAGGAGCAAGUCGAAAUCAAAUGAAAUGAAACAGAACUAAAAGACAUAAUAUGACACUUUUCAAAAUGUUAGUUCGAAUUUUCGUUUUUCGUUUUUCGUUUUAUUUUAGUUUUACUCAGAGCGAGGGACACACACAUACAUGUGAAGGCUUAAAAAGGAUUUUAGAUCCUAUUUUGCCAUGGCUGAAACCGUACAGGGACCGUACGUCGGUCGGUUUGCCACCGCACAAAUUUCCAAACUUUUCCCACACACACACACACACACACACACACACACACAGAGAGCGAGAAAAAAAAUGCCAGAGGCGUGCACACACAGGGGAAAAUUUUCAUUUGUGUGCGCAUGUGUGUGUCUUUGUGAUUUGAAUUAAACUUUUGCAGCAGCCACACACGCACACAAAUGCACUCGCAGAAAAUCAAAGGAGAGUCGCAGAGCAGCAACAUGAAGAGAGAGAGAGAGAGUAAUUUAAAACUGCAGUUUUCUAGCUGAUCGAAAAAGAACAACCCAAGACUUUCACUGUUUGUUUUCUCUGAGUGUAUGUACAUACGAAUCUCACUGCAGACAACAAAAGGUCUAAUGCCAGAGGAUGGGAAGCCAUGUAUGUGUGAGUGUGUGAGUGUGUGAGUGUGUGUGUGUGUGUGUAGAUGUGAAAGGACACAGACUUGGAUGGACGACGGAAUGAAACUUGCUCGUGGCUCCUCCAUAUACAUACACAUGUUUGGGAGUCACCCCACAUUCGCAUCCACUCAACCCUUUGUGCUUUCUACUUUUCGGGAAGUUUUGCCUCAAAGCUUUGUUGUCUUUAGCUUUGUGGGUGGAGUGGGAGGUCAGAAGAGUACAUGUGUGCUACACAUGUACAUAAAUAUGUACAUAUAAAUAUGUAUGUGGGAAAAACUUGAAGAAUUUUAGUGAAAAAACCGAAAGGAAGCUUUUGUGACAGCCUGUGGUCUGCUGGCGACAUUUAAACAUUUAUUUUGCUUACGUAUAUUUCUCCUGAAUAGCAACCCAGCAGCCCAGCAGUGCUGGAAAUAUAUGUAUUAACCCGUUCACCAUAAAUAUAAGCCCGCAAACAGCCGAGCCGAGGGCUGCCCCCCUGCCGGGGGGCUGUUUCAUUUCAUUUGUAACCCCAAAAUAGCCAAAAAUCGUUUCCUCCUUUUAUGUGCAGAAGGGUCCAGCUGUAGCCCGUACCACCUACCGCUUACCCCUUGCCCGCACCAAAUGUUGGUUCUAUUUCUAUUUCCAUUUUUGGGAUGGAUGGUCGGAGGAAAUCAAUAAUCCCAGCGCACCUGAUUCAAUGCCGCAAGAGUCUUGCUUUGGUCAUUUCGACCAUAACUGUACCAGCAUUAACCCUCCAACACAACCACCAUGCACACACACACACACACACACACACACUGUGACAGAAGAUGUCCACAGACAUUGAAGCAAAUCGGAGGGAGAGAAGGUGGAACCUGGGAGAAGGUAAAUGAAGCAACUCAGACGCAUAAACAACUCCAGACGAGGGGAAUCAGUACUAUCAGGACUAUUUUCGGACGGUAAUGGUUUACAGAGGGGGUUGUAGCCGUUGGGUUAAGGGUAGUGGACGGGCCAGGCCAGGCCAGAGGUUUGGGGCUCAUAUUUUACCCUUACCGUCGGACCAAGGACAUGGCCAUCGAUAGACUUUUGUGGUUUGAGGCUUGGGCAGUGGGUGGAAGGAAGGGAGGGAUGUGGUAGAUAAGUAAUAAAUAUUCCACGUCAGCUCCAAAGGAACUUUACCAGCAAUUUUCCACCCUCCCCCCUACCUUCUUCCCAUAAACAAACUUCGGCGUGUCCGAAGUUUUUCUGUGUGACGCGACCACGAAAAGCGGUAACAAUAAAUACACGCCCCGUCAUCCUUUACCUUCUGCAGCUCCUGGCCAGCCAACUGUCUGUCCUUCCUGCUCCUGGCUGUGGUCCUGCGCAUGGACAGCGCUUGGAGUUCGCCAAGUUAGCCCUCGGACUUUGGACCCACACAAAAAUAGCGACUGAGAAGACCAAACGCAGAUUACGCUGCGGCAGGAUGGGGGUCGAGUCUCGACUGCGUCUCGAAUUCGCCCUUGAAUCAUUUCAAUUUGAAGUAAAUUGACAUUACAUUGCCACGGGUGGCAGGGCCCUCAGCCUGGGGGCAAGACUGAAGCGCGGCUGAUGGCUGGCUGGCUGGCUGGCAGUUGGAAGAUGGAAGAUGGCUUGUGGAAACUCAAUAACUAUCAAGGUUUCAGCGGUAGUAGGAGGCGAGGGCAAAAAGCGAAUCGAAGACGAUGGCAAAGACUCUCGGCCAAGGGCCAGCCACGCGUUGACAGCCAGCCAGCCAGCAUUCCCAGUCUGGGGAAUUGGUCAGGAGGGUUGUCCAGGCAAUGCGGAUAAGGCAAAGCCCACAGGAUGGAUGGACGGAUGGACGGAUGGAUGGAUGCGGAUGGUGGAGUACAAUUCUUGGGGUGGCCAGACGCGACAACGACGCCAUGCAGCAAACAAACAAUCCCAAUUCCAGUUCCAGCACCAGUUCCAGUUCCACUCCCAAGCACAGACAGACUCACACCCAGAGCCAGAGCCAAAAGCAUUUUGAUUCAACUUCUGUCCAGACACGCACACACCUACAGUAGGAGUGGGAGUGGCAGUGGCAGUGGGAGGGAGAUGCCGCACACGAAUGCUUAUUCAAAAUGGCUGCCCAGACCAAAGACCUUUGUCCAGCAAAAGAUAUGCUGCUGGUGGUGGGUGGCAAAAGGACACUGGACAAAGGGCGCCAUACCUGCUGAGAGAUGUGCAAAAGAUGCAAAAGGAAAGGAAGGGCAGAAGGGCGCCCCAGGAUUCAGCAUGUGGAAUGUUACUUUGCAUUGAACUUGGAGCAAAUGUUGCCAUAAUUAAGAGUAUAUUUGAGGCUCCCAAUACUCUCUCUCUCUCUGGCACUCUGUCACUUCUAGGCACAGCCAAAGAUUUUUAAUUGAAAAAAACUACUCAAAAAUCAAAUGAAUAUUAUUUUUUAAGCCUGAAUUUCAAUAUAAACUCUACCAAUAAACUCUACUCAUUCUCAAACUAUAUUUAGAUGCAGCUUAAAAGGUGUGUGCGCCAUGUCCUGAGUUAUUGCUUCCGAGUCGAAGCUCUUUGGCUCUUUGGAAAACAUUCCAAAAUUACAAGUGGGGAAUUUUGGGUCUCUUCCUGCUUGUAGGUAGAGCACUUUGGUGUGUCUAUUUGCUCCCUAAUCUCUUUGUUUAGUUAACAUAAUGGAUACAGUAAGACGAAAUUCAUGUUCCUGGCUUAGAUCCCUGUCCCAGACCCAUUCCCCCCAUACCCCAUUACCCCGUGCCCAUCACCAUUCACAUUUGCUCAAAAGAAAGGGUUGCGCAGCAAUCUUUGGUUUCUUGAUUAAAAAAGUAAUUAGAAAACUAAAUGAAAGUUUUACGCAAUGAGAGAAGAGAAGAGAGAGCGCGUGUAUGCUGUGCAGAUGAAGGGUGGAGCAAGUGGAGUGUGUGUCGAGUGUGGAGUGUGUGUGGAGCUGUUUUGGAGAGAUUUUUGGGCGAAUAUGGGUAAAUAAUGUAAACUGAAAAUGACUGUACAUAGUUAUUCACACUCGCACACGCAUUCUCCUAUGUGUGUGUGUGUGUGUGUGUGUGAGAGCCUUUUGUUCUUGCAGCCCAGCCUCAUACGCGUAGCAUGGUUGGGGUGGGGAGGAGCAGGGCAGGACCAUGCAUCACCCCUUUCGUUUUUGGGUGAGGAAUGUGUCCUGUAGGGUUCACUACAUAACCAAAUGAACACCCACCCACACACAGAUACAUACACACAUACAUGUGUGUGUUUGCAUUUCUGUUGUAUAAUGGCGCGGGGGUUGGGCUCAUUUCUCGGCUGAGUUUUGGGUUCGAGUUUGGGUUGGUCACAUAUGAAUCGCGUGUGUGCUGCGGUGCGGUGCGGUGUGGUGUGGUGUGGGCAGGGGUGGCGUGUGUGGCACAUACACAUAUUCACACGCUGAUGCCACAGCCACUCCUGCCACUCGUGCCACUGCCGCUUCCUGGCGCAAUAAAUGUUUUCGAAUGUCAUUUGCUGCAAAGAUGGCGACCAUUAAUAUGGAACGAAAGGAUUUGUUUUAAUUUUGUUGCCCGUAGCGAAACGACUCGCACAUGCAGGGGUGUGGCGUGUGUGUGUGUGUGUGUUGGGUUGAACAAUAGUUGUUGUUUGUGUAUGGGGAGUGCUCAAGUUGCAAACAAUUUGGUGGCAACGUCUUUGCCAUAUGUGAAAAUUACAAGCUCCCCGAACAGGAGCCACAAUUCAUUUACACACAGACACAGACACAGACGCAGACUCUCGCAUGAUGUACAUAGAAUAUGAUACAUAUACACCGUUAUGUACAGAUGUACAGAUUGGGGCUUACAUAUGUAAGUUUUGUGGAGCUCGCAGGCGCCUUAGAUUGAGUAAUUAAAUGGCAAAAAUGUUGAAUUGCAUCGCCCGCAUCCCCAUCAAAGUUUACUCACACAAUGGUUAGCAUUGCCAUCACUCCAUGUACUCCGGGGGGGACUCUAGGGAGAGCUCACGGCAUGGCAUUGGUGUGGGAAAGCAGCUACUAAACAGGAUAUAAGCCAACUCUAAUAUUUGCACCAUCUAUGGCAAGGCGUGGCUUGUACUGAGAAGUGAGGCAUGCUGUCUAGGGGCUACUACAUUAUGAAUAGGACUCCAUUCGUACCCAAUCCCAGCCCAAUCUGGCAACAAGUAAGAAAAGUACAGAUAGAUGGGGAGGCUUAAGGUGCGAACAGAGAAGGAGCUAAGCAGUUCACAAAUUGCAUUUAAUUUGUUGCCGCAUAACAGAAAGAAAGAAUCAUUUUGAAUUGUUUCUCAAGUCUCAGGUUUAGUUCUAGCUAUCCACGUUUGUAGUGCCAAUCAAUAAGGUAAUUUAUCAUAGAAUGAAACACUCUUGAGAUUGUACAAAGUUCAUGGCAACAAAGAUGUCUGCUGGCAGGCACACUUAAGUUAAUCAUAAUACCUAAAGGAUACAAAAUUCAACAUUCUAGUCAUUGUAUUUAUGAAAAUUCCGCACACUCCGGCUCGCAUGUAUCCGAAAUGCAUAUUAAUGGAUUUUCUGCACACUUGCGACUUGAGACAAGGGGCAGGGGCAAACAUGAGGAGCUCCUCAGUAAAGUGUCCUGGGGAUGUUUCUUUUGGGGCUUAAGAUGUGGACGUUACCCCGGCAACGGCCUCCAGUCUACAGUCUCCGCUUUUUGGUGCGUGCCCGCUGUCCCAGAACGGAUAUUUGUGUUGUCAUAUCAAAGUCCCAUAUGCCCCCGUAAACGGCUCGGCGUUUGCAAAGUGUCAUCAAGGCCUAGGGGGCGAAUCGCUUGAUGCCAUCAAAUAAAGCCAUGCCCAAAACACACACACACACACACACACAGCCGGAGAUAUGAGUAUAUAGGAAGAGAGAGACGAACGGACACAUAAAGGCAAAAGGAAUAAACGAGAUGUGAUAAUAAAAUACAAAACCAAUAAAGGAAAGAGCUCUUUACACUUCACUUGCUUACCAAGAGUCGUUCGGGCACAUCAACAGCCAGUCAGGACCCCUCCCCACCCCUUCCACAUGUACACCCACUGCCCCUUUCCCAGGAGCGACAGCUGGGUGCAAAGACUUCCGCCGCAUGUCAAAAAUUGAGAAAAGCCUAAGGUUAUUUCAAUGAAUUCAUGGCAGUCGAACCAUCGCCAGGAGCCAAAGGGACAAAGGGGGGGAGCGGGGAAGCAUCGCAAUGGGAUGGCGGCAGGCAGUGGAUCAUCAUUUUUUAUUUUCCGCCUGAGCCCCGGCAACCGCCGAGCAACCGAAUGUGGAAAAGUAAGUACCCAACUCGGCCAAAUGGCAAUAAUGGCUGCCACCCACCCAAACCACCACUUUCUCCCUUAAGUGUCUGUGUGUGGGUGUGUUUGUGUGUUACUUUUAUUUUCGCUAUCAGCCAUUUAACAACAUCAACAGCACACACGUCUCUCUCUCUGCCAUCACAUGCAAAAGAUACAUAUUCAUAUGUCACCUCCACCUCUCCACACUCAACCCUCCGUCCGACCGUCUAUCCCUCCGCUGAGUUGUCCGUCCUUCAACUGUCAAGCUUAGUGAUGCCUGCCAGCCAGCCAGCCAGCCAAGCAGCCCCAGUCAGGGAUAGAUACAACAUUUUGUUUGUUUAUUUUAAUAACCAGAUCCAAGGAUGUCUAAGCCAAGUGAGUCCACGGGUAAAUUGCCUCAGUUUUAUAUGGAAAAACCUCAUCACAAAUGUGGCAGCUAAUGAUUAUCCUAGAACACAGAAAGAGUACUCUGGAUCAAACGUAUUUGAGUACUCCAACGCAUUUCAAUUUGUUAUCCAGGAACAAUUAUUCUCUGUCAUUUAGAACAAAGAAUCAAAGUGCAAAAAUAAGCCCAAGAUUAAUUUACAUGAAUUUUCACACUUGGGGUAUGUAAUCCAAGAACUUUCAUCAUUAAAGACAAUAUUCUUGAUGUUGGAAAAUAUAAAUAGAUGCUUCAUGGAUGCAUGGAUGUUCGUCGCUUCUCUGCUUAAGCACCUGUGAAAUAUUCUCCUAUUGUUAGUCAAUUCUUGUGCUACAUUUUUAAUGUAUUAUUUAAUUAUAAGAAAAACAACUAAAAAAGAUUGGCUUUAUUGGAAGUUUUUGUUCUAGAUUAAAUUAAUAAUUAUGCACACAAAUGAGAUCUAAAAUUAGGAGGCUCUCCCUCGAAAGUAGUCAACAGUGUAAAGGGAAUCUCAAGCUAGAGUGCUCCAUCACAAGAAAUACAAGUUUUUCAUUGUAUUAAUACCUAAGCAUCAAAUUUGGAAACUCCUUGAUGGGCUUUGUUUAAUUGUUUCCUUGUUUGCAUCUGCAAUUUCUGACAGUAAAUAAGUAAAACUUAAAAAAUUAUAUUUGUAUAUGCAGUUAUUGAGUACAGAAAGGUGCAGAGGGUACAAAUAUAAAUAAAAUUGAUAUGUUUUUGGAUCACUCUGCAAUUUCCACAAGCACUCAUUAAUCUGUUCAUUUUUCUUCUUGCUUUUUUUAUGCCUUUGAAGAAUUCUUUGCCACAGAAAUUAGGCAGCCACUUACCCACCUGUCCACCAGGUGCGGGGCCAGUGCCAAAUAUCCAAUGCCCCAACUCGAUUUAUUCCGCACACCAUUAAACCAUCCAAAAUUGGCACAACUGGUGGCCCAGGCACCCAGGCACCCAUUGGCACCCACUGUAGGUGCCUGCCGUAGCCACCGCUCCCCCAUGAAGAGUUUGUCAGUUGCUCCGUUUGACCUGCUGCUCCCUCCUCUUCUCCUGUUACUGUUCCACCAGCUGAAGGGGUGUUUACCUUUAACGCGUGUUGUACAUGGGAUAUGUCGGCUGGUGUCGGAGUGGGGGGUGGGUUUUGCCCUGUCCGCUGCUGCCAGUUGCCUGGGCAGCAGGCUGGCACUUUGCAACAAUUUUUUGGAAUACAUUAUAUAUGCAAAGUAUUCGUGAAUUGGUUUUUUCGCUUAUCCAACUGCCAAUUUUCUAUAUUGUAUGUGUAAGUGAGUGUGUGUCUGUGUGUGUAUGUGUGUGUGCUUGAGCCGCCUGUCGGAGUUAUCUUAUGGCAAUUUCGCAAAGAGGGCGCUCCGGCAGCCAGCUUAUGGCCCAUUUUGCACAUCUUUCACGACACCAAUCCACAUGCCACACGCCGCACCACCUUCAACUCCCCACUUUAGCCUACAGCGCAUCAGCCAUACACCCACCCCGCUUCCCCUCUGCUCACGUCAAUAUCGCCUGUUAUUUCAAAUGGGUUUCGUUUCUCAAUGUUGUUGUUGUUGUUGUUGUUGUUGUUGUUUCUUGCGUUAUUGUUACGCUUACGAUUUGCAAAAAAAAAAAACACAAACACAAACAGGGGAGGGAGAAGAAAAAUUUAACGACAAAGGGGCAAGGGGCAUGGGGAUGGGGAUGGGGAUGGGCAGAGGUGAGGUGGAACGCCCUAAAUCCCAAAUAAGAGCAAAAAGAGGACUUGGUGCGGAAGCCAAAGAUAACAUUUGUGCACAACUCUCUGGUGUCAUUUCCAUGCACAUGCCAAUUGAUGUGUUUUUACUUUCACCAAACCACCCAAAGCAACCAACCAACCAACCAUCCAGUCAGCAGUCAGCAGUCAGCAGUCACUGCCACCCUCUCCCACUCAUCCUUAGAGCCCUGGCAACUGCCAACAACAGCGGGACAGAACCAGAAGCAGAAGCAGAAGACCAGAAGCUGAAGAUUAAGACCAGUCAGCGGUGCUAGAACUACGAAUUUGGGAUACCCUUCAAGGGUACUCAACGUACUCAAAGGGAUUUUAAGUACUUUAGCUCUCUACUCACAGCAGUUUCCAAUUGUAAUUAUAAUUUAUAACUCAUUCGUUGAGUGUCAAAGUGAAUGCGGCACGCGGGUGCACCGCUGGCAGUCACCUCAUGCAAAGAUUUACCUUCGCUGUCGCUGUUGUAGCUUCAGGAUGCCAAAGCACGCAGCAUCAGCAUCCACAUCAUCAUCAAUAUCUGCUUCAGCAUUGGCAGCAAACAAAAUCCUAGCAAACAGCAACAGCAGAACCCACGCACACAAUUACAAUUACAAUCUGAACCACAUUUAUGCGUCCGUUGCGGAUUACUUUUCUUCGCGAUAAUAAUGCCAAGUAGUUGGGCGUUGGGAGUAGCAGAAGCUCCGACCGAUGAAUACAUAAAAUCGAUUACUCAAUAACCCAUGGCUGAUGGGUCAAGUGAGAGAGAGAGAGAGAGGGAGAGAGGGAGAUUGAACUGCCAGAUGGGAGUCCAUCGAAUCGAAUCGAAUGGAAUGGAAUCCAUCGAUAAGUCAGCAACUGCUUUCGAGCCAGCGAGCACUUCACAUGUUGUGUAUGCAAGGGAGCAAAUGAAAACUCAAUUGAUUUAUGAUACUUUUGAAGUGUGCUCAACUGCUCUCCCUCGCUGGAGUCACGCUUAGAUUUAUUGCCUUUAACAUUUUCGGUGCGCUAACAAGUUCUGUUCUGGCCAAGAGCGGAGGCUGGCCCCAGCAUGGGUGUGGGUUGGGUAUGUUCGAGCGCCUCUGUUGAUGUGUGCAUACAAAGCGAGUGCAUAAAUGCUAACGAACUAACUAACCCAUGGACUCCACACCAAUCCCCCCCAUCACUGACUCUUCCUGAAUGUGUGUGUGUGUACUUAUAAACGUCGUCCUCAAUCACAUGUCAAGCAACACGCUUUGCGGUGUUUCAUUUUUGUUGCGGGAGAGACAGAGACUGUCAUGGGGACAGUCAGCGGGCAAAUACUUGUACAUAUGAGGUACACACACACACACACACACACGCAGAGGGAAAAGGCAAGGAGAGAUAGAGAAUGGGGUAAGAGUAUGUAAAAGCAAUACUUAUAUGCCACGGCUGUAUGUAUGUAUACACUCGUACUGCUCUUUUGUCCUAGUUGGGUCCUCGCUAACCGCAGCUAUCCAACCAUCCAGCACCAGUCCCUGUGUCUGUCCCUCUGUAUCCCUCUUGUUCCUCCUAUCCAAAUCCCCACAGCAGCAGCAGACCCGGUCCCAUGGCGCCAGAGCGACUCGAACGUAGGACAGUGCUGAGCAUUCCUGUCGCUUCCACUCAUGUAAGCAAAAAUACUCGCAAAAAAACACAAAAAAACAAACAGAAAACGUCGUCCGCCGGCAAGGCUCAGGACCAGACACACACACACAGAUGGCAUUUGCAGCACCUGGAUGGACGGGUGGCUGCCAUUUCUUGCAAAAAAAUAAAAUAAAAUAAAUAUAUCCAAGCCGAAGCAAAGCUGCGAAGCCCCAAGCCCAUAUUUACCCCAUUGGAGAUGGUAGCGUGAGAAGGUGGUUGGACAUUUCUUGAGUGCUUUCGUGAGUGUCCUUUGAAUGUCCUACCAGCACACACACACACACACACGUACACAUAGUAGACUGACAACAACAACAACUGAGAGAGAAGCACCUUCUGAGCCAGCACCUGUCUGGGCUCACCCCCUCUCUAGGCUUCUACAGCAAAAUUCGUGAGUGGGUCCGUGCUUUCAUUCGCCUGCUCUUGGCCAUCGAACACGAGCACUGUCCUCUAUGUGUCCUACCAUCCCACACAUGCCACCCCCUUUGGCGUGUACGAGUAUGUGGCAUGGGGGCUGGAGGGACAACUUUGAGUGCCAGACAGCGCGACCGGCAGCAACAAUGAGUGGAGAUCUUUGGUGGGGAAUGGUGAAUGGGCUGUGGGCUGUGGGAUGUGCGGUGCUGGGUGCUGGGUGCAGUGUGUGUGACUGCCAGGACGGGUGAUUGUGGGGUGGGGUCGUGGUGUUGAGCAAAUUGAGUGGGCGAGGAAUUAAAAUUUCAACAUGACUGCCGCCAUGAUGCUUCGCUGGCCACACACACACACACACACACACACACAGAUACAAAUACACAUGUGAAGCAUCUCAUAUGCGAGGACGUUGGUUGUGGUGGGUUGGGGGGUUGACAGCGGGGUGGGUUUUUGGCAUUUGCUGUCACACACACACACACACCCGCAUAUAUAGCCACCCACACACACACACACACACACACCGAGGAAUACAUAUAUGGUGGGGGAUUAUGUGUGUGUGAAUGGGUCUACUUUCACAGUAAGUAUCCAGUGAACCGUUAGGACGCUGCCUUCUCCCGGCAGCCAUGAUGUCUUUUGUGGCCAUCAGGGAUGUUCGCUCACUUUGUGUGUGUGUGUGUGUGUGUGUGUGCUCCACCACUGUCCUUGCUGCCGUCCAACCACCCACAAUCUCCAACCAUUAGUUGUCUCCAGCUCUGCUUUUGUGUGGGGGCUUCGUGGGUGGAAUGUGUUUGGGUUUGCUCUUUCCCUCCCCCUCGGGGCACGACAAUGACGCUCUCUGUGUGUGUGCGUGUGUGUCGAUAUGCCAAAAAUGUAACUUUAAAUUGAUUGCAUUUCUUUGUAGCUCCCCUAGCCUUGAUGAUGAUGAUGAUGAUGAUGAUGAUGAUGAUGCGUGGGCAAGUUCAUUUUAUGUAUUACCUCUGUGCCACAACUGAGCAAACACAUUCAGCAAAUGCCUCCCCAAAGGUUACCCCCACACACGCGCUCCCAUCUGCAGAGCCAAAACCAAACUAUUCGCACGCUUUGUGUUGGAUCAAACACAUUCCAUGCCUGAACUGUUGGGCCAAAAUUGCAUCUGAGAGGAUAGAUGGCAUAGAGGAAUUCUCACAAGCCCACAAAAGGGUUCGAACUAUGCACGCAGCUCAAGAAUUUGGAUUUUGAAUAUAUUAUGCAUCAGGAAUACUUUCGGGCAAAUUUCGCAUCCAAAAUAAACUUAACCAGUUGUAAUCUUAUUUAUGCAAGAAAGAUGUGCCAAAAACUGAAAGAAAAUCAAUGAUAAAAUAAAAGAAAGAAAGAAAAGCAAAUAAAGAAAACAAAGCUAUGCUGAAGCUUUGCCAAGCUUGAGACAAUCGCCAAUAGAUUAUUAUGGCAUAUUCGUUGAUCUUCAAAAUAAAUACUUAGUUACACAUUUAAUUGUUUCUUUUUGUUAUAUUUUGUCAUCAGUGUAUUUUCCUUUCCGUUUUCUGCAAUAACUAAAACCAAGAAUUUGCCAAACUAAUCCCCAACUGGGGCUGAAAACUCAAUGCAAAUUACAUUUUGCGAAUGCAUCUCCCGCUGAGAUUGAGUGAAAGCCGCCGCUGCAUUCUCUUUAUGGGUUUCUCCCUCUCCCUCUCCCUCUCCCCACUCCACUGCACUCUAGUUUGUGUCUGUCGGUGGCACAGACACGUGCAACGGUAGCGGGCAUGCCAUCCAAUUAAUUAUACGUGCGCAAAUACCUUAAUCCGCAGAUUCGCAAUCAAAAUUCGAGAGUCGAGCCGCUGCCGCUGCCGCUGCUGGCUCUGUGCCCUGGAAACAGAUACAAAAACCAACACGAAUAUGCAAACAACACACACAUACAGAGAGACAGAGAGCAGAUACAUGAG